UACCUUAUGUUGCCUCGGCGGAUCAGCCCGCGCCCCGUAAAAAGGGACGGCCCGCCGCAGGAACCCUAAACUCUGUUUUUAGUGGAACUUCUGAGUAUAAAAAACAAAUAAAUCAAAACUUUCAACAACGGAUCUCUUGGUUCUGGCAUCGAUGAAGAACGCAGCAAAAUGCGAUAAGUAAUGUGAAUUGCAGAAUUCAGUGAAUCAUCGAAUCUUUGAACGCACAUUGCGCCCGCCAGUAUUCUGGCGGGCAUGCCUGUUCGAGCGUCAUUUCAACCCUCAAGCCCAGCUUGGUGUUGGGAGCUGCAGUCCUGCUGCACUCCCCAAAUACAUUGGCGGUCACGUCGAGCUUCCAUAGCGUAGUAAUUUACACAUCGUUACUGGUAAUCGUCGCGGCCACGCCGUUAAACCCCAACUUCUGAAUGUUGACCUCGGAUCAGGUAGGAAUACCCGCUGAACUUAAGCAUAUC
rnacentral:rRNA from 1 species